AAACUUUCAAAGUGAAACUUUCAACGGCACAUUACAUGAUCCAAUGGCAAAGAUAUUAUAAACUUUGCCAAUGGGCGCAUUGUUAGUGCAGCAAAAGCUGUAAGCCGUUUAUAGACAGAUCCAGUCGAAUCAUCUGUGCAGCAGAAUUAAUUAAACGUGCUUUUAUCGAUUAAUGGGAGCAUCUCACACAAGAAAACAAAGCAGAAAUAUGAAUAGCAACAACGCCAAGUCGGACAACAGCUCUAGGCAGGAUAAUGCCAGCAGUAACAUACGACCUCUUUCGAUAGAAGGACCUCGAACACAAGAUCUCAAUCAAGCACCAGCCCAACCAAUACCCAAUCAACCAAGGCAACCAGUAAAUUUACAAGGUCUUCUUCGUUUUGCACUAGAAGCGACAAAAUCCGAAGAUGCACCUCAUGAAUCACGUUUUCAACCUUUGGAUGCGGAGCGAAAAAAGUUUUUAAAUGAAGCUCUAGCUUCGAUGACAGUCAAUGUCAUAGAAGAAUUACAAAAAUCUAUAAAAAUCCUCGAAAAUGUGGUUGAUCUCAGACCAGAUGAUAAUCCUGCCGAUUAUGAAGCAGCCCUUGAAAGAAUAUCCGAAUUUGCUGAUAGUACAGACGUGGCCAACGAUUUUUACAAAAUCGGAGGAUUCUCGAUUUUUGGGCCCUGUCUAAAUUCUCCACACAGCGGAAUUAGGUGGAGAGUGGCUGAUCUCAUCGCCGAAUUAAGUCAAAAUAACCCUUUUUGUCAAGAGAAGAUAUUGGAGGCUGGUUACAUGCCAAUUUUACUGAAUAUGGUGGACACAGACCCUUGUGAACAAGCAAGAGUUAAAGCCUUAUACGCUGUUUCUUGUAUAGUGAGGGGUCAUUCCGUGGCAUUGAAGCACAUGGAAGUGAACGAUGGUUAUUCCAUAUUACUAAGGGCCAUACAAAGUCCUGUCGAAAAAUUGCAAAUCAAGUCUGCUUUCUUGCUCUCGUCGCUUUCUAAUAGAGACAACCUGAAUGACCUGAAAGCUACUUUGAUCAAGAUGGGUCUUGUCGAACAAAUAGCUGGUCUACUUACAAUGGGCAACCUUCUUGCAGAUACAAAGGAACAAUUACUAAGUGUACUCGGAGGUUUAACCAAUAAUGGAUUCCUACCGGCACUAAAAGAGUGCCGGAGGCCUGAGCUUUGUCUCAAACCAACGCUGGAAAGACAUUUAAAAGAUGCCAAAGCUGAAGACAGCUUGGAGAGAGAAGAUAUUUGCAAAGAUCUUCUCGACAAGAUAUUUUCCGAUCAAAGAUCGCAAGAGCAAGAAAGAUAACUCUAUAGAAAAUAAUUAUACUGCUUUAACUUAAUCUUCAACAAUCUGUAUUACGAAUAUGAGAGAACGGCUUGUUUCUUAAAAAUCGUGGCCGGAGUGCUUUUGUAGUAAGACAGUGCAAGAUUCCCGAAUUCACUGAGAAGAACGUGGCCAACUAAGAAUUAUAUGUGUCGUGCUCAGUUUUAUCAUUCAUUUUUUUUACACAUAUAUACUAAUAGGUAGGUUUUAAGAAAUGUAAUUUUCUCUAAUUUGUCU